rnacentral:rRNA from 1 species
GAUGAACGCUGGCGGCGUGCCUAAUACAUGCAAGUCGAGCGAACAGAUGAGGAGCUUGCUCCUCUGACGUUAGCGGCGGACGGGUGAGUAACACGUGGAUAACCUACCUAUAAGACGGGGGUAACUUCGGGAAACCGGAGCUAAUACCGGAUAAUAUAUUGAACCGCAUGGUUCAAUAGUGAAAGACGGUUUUGCUGUCACAUAUAGAUGGAUCCGCGCCGCAUUAGCGAGUUGGUAAGGUAACGGCUCACCAAGGCAACGAUGCGUAGCCGAUCUGAGAGGAUGAUCAGCCACACUGGAACUGAGACACGGUCCAGACUCCUACGGGAGGCAGCAGUAGGGAAUCUUCCACAAUGGGCGCAAGCCUGACGCAGCCACGCCGCGUGGGUGAUGAAGGUCUUCGGAUCGUAAAGCUCUUUUAUUAGGAAAGAACAACUGUGUAAGUAACUCUGCCCGUCUUGACGGUACCUAAUCAGAAAGCCCCGGCUAACUUCGUG